AGCGGGCGACCUAGAGGGGGGUGGCUGGUGAUGGCGGCGGCGGCGGCGGCAGCGGCGGCGGCGGGCGGCCUACGUUGGGUGCUCGCUGCGCUCUGCUUGGGCUGCGCCGCUGGGGGGGACGCGUCAGGCCCGCGGGUGCUGGGCUUCUGCCUGGAAGAGGACGGAGACAGGGCCGAGGGUCCGGUGUGGGCCCGGGGCCGAGUGGUCCGGGCCGCGCCCGGGGCCGCCUUCCGCUUGCGGCUCUUUGGCUCCGGCUUCGCCAACCGCUCGUGGCCUUGGGUGGCCUUCGCCCCUGCGGGCGCGGGCUGCCCGGAGGGGGGAGAAGAGUCGGAGGCGGGGGGUGCGCGCGGGGGCGCGGGAGCGCCCCUGAGCGUGAACCCCGAGGCCGUGCGGCCUCACUCGGCGUUGCUCGCGGUGCGCGUGGAGCGCGGCGGGCCCGCGGGGGGCGCGCGCUAUCGUUUGUGCAGCCGAGGGGAACCCCAGGGGAGCUGGACGCCCGCGGCCGAGGGGGACUCCCUUACCGUUGAGGAGGCGCCCCUGCUGCCCUGGGCGCUGGGCCUGCUGGCGGCCGCGCUGCUGGGGCUGGCGGCGUUGGCCCGGGGUCUGCAGCUGAGCGCCCUGGCCCUGGAGCCGGCCGAGGUGCAGGUGCUGCGCGAGAGUGGCUCCGAGGCGGAGCGGGCGGCCGCGCAGCGCUUGGAGCCCCUGCGGCGCUGGGGCAGCUUCGCCCUGUGCGCCCUACUACUGUUGGCCAGUCUGGCCCAGGCCGCGCUCGCCGUGCUUCUCUACCGUGCCGUGGGCCAAAGAGCUGUGCCCGCCGUGCUGGGCAGCGCGGGCCUCGUGUACCUGGUGGGCGAGGUGGCGCCCGCGGCCGUCAGCGGCCGCUGGGGCCUGAGCCUGGCCCCGCGCGCGCUGGGUCUCACCCGCCUGGCGGUCCUGCUCACUUUCCCCGUGGCCUUGCCCGUGGGCAAGCUCUUGGAGCUGGCCUUGCGCCAGGAAGGCGGGCGACUGCGGGAGCGGGUGGUGGAUCUGGCCCGGGGCACUGACACUUACCACGAGUUCGUGAGGGAGGAGUUUAGCAAGGGGGCCCUGCGGUGCAAAACGGUGGAGGACGUGCUCACCCCGCUGAAGGAUUGUUUCAUGCUGGACGCUUCGGCCGUGCUGGACUUCGGCGUCAUGUCCACCAUCAUGCAGAGCGGCUACACUCGCAUCCCGGUGUACGAGGAAGAACGCUCCAACAUCGUGGACAUGCUCUACCUCAAGGACUUAGCCUUCGUGGACCCGGAGGACUGCACCCCGCUCAGCACCAUUAUCCGAUUCUACAACCAUCCACUCCACUUUGUCUUCAAUGACACUAAGCUGGAUGCCGUCCUGGAGGAAUUCAAACGAGGGAAGUCACAUCUGGCCAUUGUACAGAAGGUGAACAAUGAAGGCGAGGGAGACCCUUUCUAUGAGGUUAUGGGUCUUGUCACACUGGAGGAUGUCAUUGAGGAGAUAAUUAAAUCAGAGAUCCUGGAUGAAUCUGAUGACUAUGGAGAAAACAAGGUGAAGAAGAAACCUACUUGUCUGGGUGCCCCCUUAGAGCGAAAGAAGGAGGAGUUCUCUUUGUUCAAAGGGUCUGACAAUGAGCACAAAGUGAAGAUCUCCCCCCAACUGCUCCUGGCCACCCAGCGUUUCCUCUCCCGAGAGGUGGACUUAUUUAGCCCACUACGAAUCUCAGAGAAGGUCCUGCUACACCUGCUGAAGCAUCCCAGUGUCAACCAGGAAGUGAAGUUUGAUGAAUGCAACCGACUGGCUGCAGACCAUUACCUGUAUCAGCGCAAUCAGCCAGUUAACUACUUCAUUCUCAUCCUGCAGGGCAGAGUUGAGGUGGAGAUUGGGAAAGAGGGCCUCAAGUUUGAAAAUGGAGCCUUCACUUACUAUGGUGUGUCUGCCUUAUCAGUACCAUCCUCAGUUCACCAGUCCCCAGUGUCUUCAACUCGGCCCAGCCGACGUGACCAGCAGUGCGAGCCAGCAGAGAGUACCCACUACUCUUCUACGUAUUGUCCUGACUACACCGUGAGGGCCCUCUCUGACCUGCAGUUCAUUAAGGUAACUCGACUGCAGUACCUCAAUGCACUCAUGGCGUCACGUGCCCAGAAUCCCCCACAGUCUCCUGAGAACCUGGACCUCCGAAUUGUCCCCAACAGCCAGACCAAGCUGCUCCAUAGCAAGACUGCUGCAGCAGCAGCCUUCCCAGUAAACAUUUCCCUCUUUGGCACAGUUGGAAACUGCAGUUGAUAGAUGACUGUGGACUAGUGAGAAUUUUUGUUUUUUAGAAAACACCCAAGGAACAGCCAACAGCAGACUGAACUCCGCAACAGAAGAGAGUCUUGGGAGGAACACGAGAGUUUAACUUCUUGCCAGGCAACCCCAGAACUGGGGAUGGACAAGCAAGUGGGGAACUUGAGUGAGCCCAGGAGUAGCUUCAUGCCAACCUGUCCCCUCCCUUUCUGGCCACGUUUUAGGUGGCUUUUAGAGACAUGGGCUCUGGGCCUAAUGCCAGUGUUAAGAGCCUGCUGCAGAUAAGAAACCUGCCUCUUUUGUGGGGAUGGGAAUCAGUUGUAGCAUCAUUCUCCAAACCCUGCUCCUGGGACAGGAGUCAACAGGGAAUUAAAGAAAAGCCCAUCAUCUCGGAAUCCCAAGGUGCCCUUUCCCCUCUUUACCUCCCCCCUCAAUGGGGAUGCUUCAUAGCCUUAAGGCUAUGAUAGUGGAGUAUUAUUUACUAUACGAAUGCAGAAAUUAUACUCUUUAACAUGUGGCUGUGACCUGCAUUCACCUCGUUUUUAAUUUGCCAAGUACCUGCUGUUGGCAGCACUUUGAGAGUGAGCCAAGAACACUGCAGCCUCUGCCCAAGGCUCUGAUCCAGAGGUUUUGUCUGUGGCAGUAAGCUUUGGCCUGCAAGGCAGUUCCCUUCUUCACAGUGCCACAUUUUUAUCUUCCCCUUUUAUGUCUUUCUUGUACCAAACCCUAAGUACUAUAGUGGCAGGUGCAUAGCCUGCCUGUUCCCCAAAACUCCUCCUGUGGAGGCUGCUGUUUGCCCAAAUAAAAAGAGCAACCUGUUCCCACGCUCAGCUCUCUCUGAACUAAGGGUUCAGGUCACUCCUGCUUUUGGCCACCCCAAGCUGUACUUCCCUUCCUGACUUGGCCUUGCUGCUUUAAAUUAUUAGAGGUGGUCCCUCAUACUACCCAGGUGAACGACCCAGGUUUCUCCCUUCCCCUAACCCCAUGGCUAGUUGUUACUAAUAGUAUCCUGGUUAUUUUUUUGAGGUCACAUAUGGAGUGAAGACAGGUGUACUAUUAUUUGAAUCUAACCUUACUGUGAUCCCAGGUCACUGUUUAUAACAAUCUGUUGGCUCUGUUGUACCCAGUCUUACACCUUCAUUUGCUUCUAAUGAUCCUAUAUACAGUGUAACCAACUAACGUGGCUGACAUCCUUGGGAAGCUGGCAUAUAGAAGGGAGAGCUUUCUGAACUGUAGGCUCCUCUUCUCAAGACAGAGAGAUUCUUAAUUCCUAAUCUUAGGUAUAGGGUUUGGGAGAAGAGAGGGUUAUUCCUCUUCUUCACACUGAAGCUUCCCUUAAACUAUUUGCCAUUACAUGAGUAAUGGAAGCCUUCAGACCAGAGAUCACUGCCUAAAAGGCAAAGGUAGAGACUUAGUUUAGAAGAAACUGGUCCCUUUCUGUACUGUCAAGGGAAUCUGAGGUCAUUUAACUCACUUGCCUUUUACCUUGGUAGUCUUUCCAUCUGGAAUGAGGUACCAAAAAGGUAGGGCUGCGUGGGCAAUUAACUGUCAGCUGAAGCAAGCAAAAGGGGGAAAAAAAAGAUGAUUUAGUGCUUACUCUUUUCUAAGAGGGAGGAGUCUUUGAUUAACAGUCACCUAUGCACAAUAAGUCCAGAGUCUCAGACCUGAGCAGGGGCACCCUGCACCAUGAGUGAUAUCAUUCUCUCCCUCCCUAAGUGUUACUGGUAAAUAAUGAAAUUCUAAGCUUGGGUUGGCAAUUUUACUGAAGCACUACAUGGGUUGAAAUUCAGGACAAGGUAGUCAUGAUCUGAAGAUGUCACACUAAUUGUAGUUGUUCAAAGCUUAGGCACCAAAAGUGAAAAAUGGAUUGCUGUAAAGUUUUUCUCCAUCUUUUUUCUUUAUCCUGCCCUCUUUCACAUCACCAUAGAAUAUAACCAGGCUACAAAAGAGAAUCAGUUUUAAUGAAAAACAACCCAAAAAAAAAAGGAUC